rnacentral:rRNA from 1 species
CGCUUCAUCGAGCGUGAAAUCGAGUAGGGCGGGACACGUGAUAUCCUGUCUGAAUAUGGGGGGACCAUCCUCCAAGGCUAAAUACUCCUGACUGACCGAUAGUGAACCAGUACCGUGAGGGAAAGGCGAAAAGAACCCCUGUGAGGGGAGUGAAAUAGAACCUGAAACCGUGUACGUACAAGCAGUAGGAGCACCUUCGUGGUGUGACUGCGUACCUUUUGUAUAAUGGGUCAGCGACUUAUAUUCAGUGGCAAGGUUAACCGUAUAGGGGAGCCGUAGCGAAAGCGAGUCUUAACUGGGCGCUCAGUCUCUGGAUAUAGACCCGAAACCGGGUGAUCUAGCCAUGGGCAGGUUGAAGGUUGAGUAACAUCAACUGGAGGACCGAACCGACUAAUGUUGAAAAAUUAGCGGAUGACUUGUGGCUAGGGGUGAAAGGCCAAUCAAACUCGGAGAUAGCUGGUUCUCCCCGAAAGCUAUUUAGGUAGCGCCUCGGACGAAUACUACUGGGGGUAGAGCACUGUUAAGGCUAGGGGGUCAUCCCGACUUACCAACCCUUUGCAAACUCCGAAUACCAGUAAGUACUAUCCGGGAGACACACGGCGGGUGCUAACGUCCGUCGUGGAGAGGGAAACAACCCAGACCGCCAGCUAAGGUCCCAAAGUAUUGCUAAGUGGGAAACGAUGUGGGAAGGCUCAGACAGCUAGGAUGUUGGCUUAGAAGCAGCCAUCAUUUAAAGAAAGCGUAAUAGCUCACUAGUCGAGUCGGCCUGCGCGGAAGAUGUAACGGGGCUAAGCAAUACACCGAAGCUGCGGCAAUGUCUUUUAGACAUUGGGUAGGGGAGCGUUCUGUAAGCCGUUGAAGGUGAAUCGUAAGGUUUGCUGGAGGUAUCAGAAGUGCGAAUGCUGACAUGAGUAACGACAAAGGGGGUGAAAAACCUCCUCGCCGGAAGACCAAGGGUUCCUGUCCAACGUUAAUCGGGGCAGGGUGAGUCGACCCCUAAGGUGAGGCCGAAAGGCGUAAUCGAUGGGAAACGGGUUAAUAUUCCCGUACUUCUGACUAUUGCGAUGGGGGGACGGAGAAGGCUAGGUGGGCCAGGCGACGGUUGUCCUGGUUCAAGUGCGUAGGCUUGAGAGUUAGGUAAAUCCGGCUCUCUCUAAGGCUGAGACACGACGUCGAGCUACUACGGUAGUGAAGUCAUUGAUGCCAUGCUUCCAGGAAAAGCCUCUAAGCUUCAGAUAGUCAGGAAUCGUACCCCAAACCGACACAGGUGGUCGGGUAGAGAAUACCAAGGCGCUUGAGAGAACUCGGGUGAAGGAACUAGGCAAAAUGGUACCGUAACUUCGGGAGAAGGUACGCUCUUGAUGGUGAAGUCCCUCGCGGAUGGAGCUGACGAGAGUCGCAGAUACCAGGUGGCUGCAACUGUUUAUUAAAAACACAGCACUGUGCAAAAUCGCAAGAUGACGUAUACGGUGUGACGCCUGCCCGGUGCCGGAAGGUUAAUUGAUGGGGUUAGCGCAAGCGAAGCUCUUGAUCGAAGCCCCGGUAAACGGCGGCCGUAACUAUAACGGUCCUAAGGUAGCGAAAUUCCUUGUCGGGUAAGUUCCGACCUGCACGAAUGGCGUAAUGAUGGCCACGCUGUCUCCACCCGAGACUCAGUGAAAUUGAAAUCGCUGUGAAGAUGCAGUGUACCCGCGGCUAGACGGAAAGACCCCGUGAACCUUUACUACAGCUUGGCACUGAACAUUGAACCUACAUGUGUAGGAUAGGUGGGAGGCUAUGAAGACGUGACGCCAGUUGCGUUGGAGCCGUCCUUGAAAUACCACCCUUGUAUGUUUGAUGUUCUAACUUAGACCCAUUAUC